AUGUCGACUGCAGGGAUAAUUAAAGUCUCCGCUGCGUGCCCCGUCUUCGAUGGAACUGAAUAUCCCUACUGGAAGAAUAAGAUGCGCAUGCAUCUUGAAGCCAUUGACGUCGACCUAUGGUAUGUCGUCAUGAACGGUGUUCCCAAGGCUGGAGAAGGUGUCACUGCUGCAGAUGUCAAGAAGUUCGUUCAACUGGACUCUACUGCCAAGAAUAUCAUCUGUGGUCAUCUGACCAAAGGACAGUAUGGCCGUGUGAGUGCUUUGGAAACAUCUAAGCUGGUCUGGGACUGGCUCUCCAAGGUCAAUGAAGGCGUCUCAAGCCAGAGAGAUUAG
rnacentral:rRNA from 1 species